rnacentral:rRNA from 1 species
CACGUAGGGGGCGAGCGUUGUCCGGAUUUAUUGGGCGUAAAGAGCUCGUAGGCGGCUCGGUAAGUCAGGUGUGAAAACUCUAGGCUCAACCUAGAGACGCCACCUGAUACUGCUGUGGCUAGAGUCCGGUAGGGGAGCAUGGAAUUCCUGGUGUAGCGGUGAAAUGCGCAGAGAUCGGGGAGGAACACCCGUGGCGAAGGCGGCCAUCUGGACCAGCACUGACGCUGAGGCACGAAAAGCGUGGGGGAGCCGAACAGG